GACGAACGCUGGCGGCGUGCUUAACACAUGCAAGUCGAACGGUAAGGCCCUUCGGGGUACACGAGUGGCGAACGGGUGAGUAACACGUGGGUGAUCUGCCCUGCACUUCGGGAUAAGCCUGGGAAACUGGGUCUAAUACCGGAUAGGACCACUGCCUGCAUGGGUGGUGGUGGAAAGCUUUUGCGGUGUGGGAUGGGCCCGCGGCCUAUCAGCUUGUUGGUGGGGUGAUGGCCUACCAAGGCGACGACGGGUAGCCGGCCUGAGAGGGUGACCGGCCACACUGGGACUGAGAUACGGACCAGACUCCUACGGGAGGCAGCAGUGGGGAAUAUUGCACAAUGGGCGCAAGCCUGAUGCAGCGACGCCGCGUGAGGGAUGACGGCCUUCGGGUUGUAAACCUCUUUCAGCACCGACGAAGCGCAAGUGACGGUAGGUGCAGAAUAAGCACCGGCUAACUACGUGCCAGCAGCCGCCGUAA
rnacentral:rRNA from 1 species